AGAGCUCUCAUUUCCCCCCCUUGCUCGGGAUGGUGCCACAGGAGGCUGUGCGGGCCCCGCUCCGCUUCGAAUGGCUGGUCCUAUAGUCCCCCUCCUCAGGAAUGUCUCCCAGUGCAAGGACAAAGACUGAAGAGACUGCUAUAUUGAUGGACCCUCAAGCCAACUAUGAAGUUGAAACAAAGAAAGUGAUCACCUGAAGACACCUCCUCUGCUAAGAAACACCCCCAAAUUGUGCAGCUUCUGACACUAGAACUCUCAGAACAAGAGACAAUCUUUUGAAGAAACAGAAAAACUCAAUAAUGACAUCUAGAUUUUCAUGAGCCAAGAACUUUCCCUUCCUCAUGUGUAUUCCUCUGUUUGUACUUAAAUUCAUGUGACAUUCAUUUUUUUCCUAGUAUGGAUAUGCUUAUUAAUGCACUUGUUUCAAAAUCGAAAAUUGCACAAAUGUGUUAAUAUUUUAAGAAACAAAAUUAAUCCUACAAGGAGAAUGAUUUUUAGCCACACAUAGGGUUGGAUCUUAAGAGUGACCUACAGAAUAAAAAGUACUUUUAAAAUAAAGUAGUCAGAGGCUAUUCAAAGGGUAAAAUAAUCAUAGUACCACAUUGGUCCACUUGACACUAACCAAUCGAUCAUUAUUUUUUUAAUCAAGAAAGCUAGAUUCUAUCAGAUAAAAUAACUGCUUCUAAAGAGUUUAAAUCUAGUUAUAAAAAGUUAUAGAAAUGUUUGCAAAGAUAAGUAACAGAUAGGGUCAGUAGAGGAUAAGAUCAAAAACAAAACCAAGCAAAAGAUGAGUUCAGGGGAGUUUGCCAUCAAGUUGGCAAAACUGACGUAUUUAGGGAAGAAAGUUCUAAAAGAGGAAAAUAUAAGAUGAACCUUGAGUGAUGUCAAAGAUUUAGAGAUAAAUGGAAAGGAAGGAGAAAAUGGAGUUCUUUAGGUGGUUGUAAUUGGAGGAGGAAAUGAAUACACACAUCUUGUUGACUUAAACCCAGACAUUCAGCAGCUUUCUAUACAUAUCUGGAAAAGACUUUGCACAGUCACCUCCUGUCUCUCACCCCGGGUAUUACUUAGAAUUAUUAUCGUAUUUCCCUUCCUUUAAAGUAAGUAAGGGUGAUUGGUGACAAUAUGGAGAACUAUGAUUUUUCCAUUAACCUAAUAAUAAUUGGUAUUUAUUGAGUUCUGUUAAGCAUUUUACAUAUUAACUCACUUAAGCCUUUCAACAGCCUUGCAAAAUAGGUAUUAUUAUUCCCAUUUUACAGGCAAGAAAACUGAGGUUUAAGUAACUUGCCAAAGUGCCAUAUACAGGGCUCACAUUCAGUAUUGCAAUUGCAAAGCUCAUGAUCUAUAGUGCCAAGUUGCAAUAUUGGAGUCAAUGUCACAAUUAUUACCCCUUUUUAUAUUCCUUGAUAUUUUUCCAUGGCAAACAAAUAGCUAUUUCAUUUAAUAAUCACCUAAAACUUUUCAGUCUUCUGGUUAAAAUUACACUGGAGUGAUAGAAUGUAUUUUCGUGAUAGAAUGUAUUUUCAUGAUAGAAAUUGGGGAAAAAAAUGGGGAAUGAAGUUUAUCAGCAUUUCAGACCUUUUUUUUUUUGCAAGACUUUGAUGAGAUUGUUCACUUUUGUCUACGUAAAAUCCCAAAUCCUUGAGAAUAAAAAAGGGGGAGGUUUAAGUCACUUGUUGCAAUGCCCUUUUUAACAGAGGCAAUAAAUCUAAGGCCAUAGAUUUAGAGUGACUUACAGAAGGUCGAACUUUGGGGUGUGGCAGAGUAAGGGAUGGAAACCAGGCCUUCCAGUUCACUAUCAGUAGCUCUUGCACUAGUCUGCCCUUCCUAAAUUAAUUAUGCACUUCAAUUUGAUGAGUGGAAACAGUCUAUCUAGGUAGUAACCAGGGAGCUUUGUGCCUAGUAGAUUGCUUCUGUUCUGCACUUCUUUGGUUUCCCACCUCAAUGUAAAAAAUAGCUAGCAAUGAAGCCCAGAAGUUGUCAAUGGUUCAUCCCCAAAAGAAUGCAUAAUGUCCAAAGUUGUAUGUGUAUAAUGUCUUCAAUGGUAUUUUUAAGUUAUUUCAAAUUCUUAGUUCACUUACAUAAAUCAUUUCUAAUGAGCAUCUUCUUAACCAACUUUAUGCACAGUGUAUGUUUGUAAGUGCUUCUGCACGAAUGUUUAUACAUGACUGUUUCCAUAGUACUUGUGUUUUUAAAAAUAUUCAGUCAUUUCCUAUUAUAAUCCUCAUGUAUCCAUGUAACUGACUCAAAAAUACUUCAGCCAUAAAAAGCUAAAUCUGAGCAAAUCUCAUUCUUCUUUUCCAUCCCCUUUGCAUGUGGCUGGCAUUUAGUAAUGAUUAAUAAUGUGGCCAGCUGAAUAACAGAGGUUCGAGACACAAUUCUUUCUCAAAGGAGUCAGCUAAGCUGGGUCUACUUAUGGACAAACAUCUAAAUGUGUGGAAGUAUCUGAUAUUUGACUAUGGUAAAUUUCCACUUAGCUAGCUAGCACUGUCAGACUUAGAUCUCCUCAUGGCUCUGGCCGUCCUGUUUUCAGCAUGAUAAUUGUUGGCCACAUCUCACAUAGUUCUCAUUAAGUGAGUUCAUAAAUAAACAGGGUUUUUUUUUUUAAAGAGCAGCCAAGCACAAAGUGUGACUUUGUUGACAUUUUAUGUGACUUCGUCAUAUGUUCCUAACCCCCAAUAAAAGCAAUGUUGCAUCAA
rnacentral:lncRNA from 1 species